GUCUUAUUGAAUAUGAUUUUAAGUCUGACCUGCUCAAUGAAUUUUAAAUAGCUGCAGUAAUUUGACUGUACAAAGGUAGCAUAAUAAUUAGUUUUUUAAUUGAAAGCUGGAAUGAAGGGUUGAAUGAGAAAAUUACUGUCUCAAUUUAAAUAAUAUAAUUUUAUUUUUAAGUUAAAAAGCUUAAAUUUUAUUAGAAGACGAGAAGACCCUAUAGAGUUUAAUAAAAUUAAUUUUUUUUAUAUAUUUUAGAAUUUAAAUUUUAAAUAAAAGUUUUAUUUGGUUGGGGUGAUUAUAAAAUUUAGUAAACUUUUAUUUUAUAAAAACAAUAAUUUUUGAAAAAUUGAUCCAUAUAUUUUGAUUAUAAGAAUAAAUUACCUUAGGGAUAACAGCGUUAUUUUUUUUAGAGUUCUUAUUGAAAAAAAAGAUUGCGACCUCGAUGUUGGAUUAAAGUUUAAUAUUGGUGCAGAAGCUAAUUAUUUAAGUCUGUUCGACUUUUAAAAUUUUACA
rnacentral:rRNA from 1 species